AAGGGAUUCAUAGCCCCUUUUAAAUAGACCCAAGAACAGACACAAGAAUUGAAGUUUUUAUAGCACUUACAUGCAGUUUAUUAUUUUACAGAAAUAAAAGAUUAAUCAAAGCAAAGACCUAACUCACACAUGGCGUACUAACUGAACUGCUUCUCGGGCCUAACUAAACUGAACUGCUUCUCGGGCCUAACUAAACUGAACUGCUUCUCGGGCCUAACUAAACUGAACUGAUUCUCAAAUCUAACUAAACUGAACUGCUUCUCCAACCUAACUAAACUGAACUGCUUCUCAAAUCUAACUAAACUGAACUGCUUCUCGGACCUACCUAAACUGAACUGCUUCUCGGGCCUAACUAAACUGAACUGCUUCUCCAACCUAACUAAACUGAACUGCUUCUCAAAUCUAACUAAACUGAACUGCUUCUCGGGCCUAACUAAACUGAACUGAUUCUCAAAUCUAACCAAACUGAACUGCUUCUCCAACCUAACUAAACUGAACUGCUUCUCAAAUCUAACUAAACUGAACUGCUUCUCGGACUUAACUAAACUGAACUGCUUCUCGAACCUACCUAAAAUCGGACGGCUAAGCCAUUUACUGAUUAACACAAAACGAUUUCCACACUACCUUUUAAAAGACCACACAGGUCUCUUGACAGCCUCUCUCCACACAGACUGGAGACUGCCCCAAUUAAAUUAAACACAACAAUUAGAAACAAUAAUUAAUUACACCUGUGUCUAUGCGAGCACAGGUACAGGGGAGAAGUUUGCCCCGAACUUCGACUGGCAGGCAGGUCUGCCUCUUAGGCAGAUAAUAAAACACCUCUCUGCGAAAACCCGCCUCCUCAGUUACAUCACAAAGGAACACGCCUUCUAAGGUCAAAAGCUGCCUGUUUCCACGCCCUCACAUUCAAACUGAAAACUGCGCGGCAAGGUUUUGCUGCAGAACAGAUUUGGAACGAAAAAGAGAAAUGCCUCCCAGAAAGCGUAGGAAGUGUACUUCGGUCACUGUGAAAAAUCAUGCAGAAAAAGCUCAUGCUACAUCAGCAAGCCCUGCUGCUUGUUGAGAAAGCGACACUGCUUCCCCACUGCCACAGGCAUGCCCUCCUUCCUCCAGCACAGUCGCUGUGUCACUUCAGCAUCCAUCUGUAUCGCUGGCUGUGCCUCGCCCAGCUGUAAUACCCGACAGCAUGGCUACACCACAAGUAUUUGCUGAAGUCGAGAGCCUUCUCCCUCUUUCUUUCAACAAGAGAAAGAAAAGGAGAAGCCUGCGAUUUAGGUGUGGGCAUCGGCAAGCUGGCAGUGAGGAUAAUUCCUUUUGACAGGAUCGCAGUUUUGGAGGGCUCGAUCACAACCAAAGAUGUUGCCAUUGGAAAGCUUCAUGAAUUUAAGUAUGUUUCUUUACAGUUUUACACUAGUGAUGAAAAAUGCAGGUGUAGUGUAACCAAAACGUUAAAUUACAUCAAAUUUGUAACAAAAAAUAUACACUAUGAAUAUUAAAUAUAGAAAAAGUAAAAUCAGACCAAAAUAUUUCCCAUGUACAAAACAAUAAAGUUAGAAAGAGGGGUCAACCAGAGAAAGAUAUGAUUGCAAUCAAAUGUGUGAAAUUGUAAAAAUAAAGUGCACUCUGCCUUUACCCGCUAUGCCACUUGUGAGCCCCAAAUUAUUAUUUUUAAAGUGUAAAGGUACACAUUAAAACUUCUAAAUAGACUUGCAGAUUUUCUCAGGAUGAUUUUUUCUGCUGGGCAUCUCAAUAUUUUUUGUUUUUAUUUACAUACCAUUACAAGAUAAAAUGUUAGGCGCUAAAAACAAUCCUCAUUAAAUAUUGGGUAAAAUCAGUGUCUAAGGCUAAAAGCAGCUUACAUAAAACCACAUGACUGGUUUAUUGAGUAUUGCAGUACGAAUUGUAUUAUUCAUUAUUUAAAAAAAAAAAAAAAAAUUAUAUAUAUAUAUUUUUUUUUUUUCUCGAUGGCAUCAAGAAUACAACAGACCAAAUUAAAGAAAGUGCUAUGGACUUUGACAUGGCUACUCAUGGACUGGGCUUUCAAAUGCUUGAUGUUUACAGUUCUGUACUUCAAAAAUGUGCCAAUUCCCAGAUAGAAAAACUGCAGAAUGUGUAGUUUUAGAUGACACUGAAAAUAAGGCAUCCUUUGCAUAUAUGUUCAUUAUUUUAAAAAAGGGCUUGUUCAAAACAUUAAGAACAUUUCUAAGCAAAGAAAACCUAAAAUAGCAUUUUAUGUAAGGCAUUUUCUUUUCUAUACAACCUCUUAAAUAUAUAUUUAAAAAUUGACCAUAAACAUACAUAAAUAAAGGUACUGUACAACAUCUCAGAUUUAUAGUUUCUUGUUUUAUUUGUUUAUGGUUUAAAUAAUAGC